rnacentral:rRNA from 1 species
UGGGGAAUAUUGGACAGUGGGCGAAAGCCUGAUCCAGCCAUGCCGCGUGUGUGAAGAAGGUCUUCGGAUUGUAAAGCACUUUAAGUUGGGAGGAAGGGCAUUAACCUAAUACGUUAGUGUUUUGACGUUACCGACAGAAUAAGCACCGGCUAACUCUGUGCCAGCAGCCGCGGUAAUACAGAGGGGGCAAGCGUUAAUCGGAAUUACUGGGCGUAAAGCGCGCGUAGGUGGUUUGUUAAGUUGGAUGUGAAAUCCCCGGGCUCAACCUGGGAACUGCAUUCAAAACUGACUGACUAGAGUAUGGUAGAGGGUGGUGGAAUUUCCUGUGUAGCGGUGAAAUGCGUAGAUAUAGGAAGGAACACCAGUGGCGAAGGCGACCACCUGGACUAAUACUGACACUGAGGUGCGAAAGCGUGGGGAGCAAACA